AUUGAACGCUGGCGGCAUGCCUUACACAUGCAAGUCGAACGGUAACGGGCCUUCGGGUGCCGACGAGUGGCGAACGGGUGAGUAAUGUAUCGGAACGUACCUUUCAGUGGGGGAUAACGUAGCGAAAGUCACGCUAAUACCGCAUAUUCUGUGCGCAGGAAAGCAGGGGAUCGAAAGACCUUGCGCUGAUUGAGCGGGCGAUAUCAGAUUAGCUAGUUGGUGAGGUAAAGGCUCACCAAGGCGACGAUCUGUAGCGGGUCUGAGAGGAUGAUCCGCCACACUGGAACUGAGACACGGUCCAGACUCCUACGGGAGGCAGCAGUGGGGAAUUUUGGACAAUGGGGGCAACCCUGAUCCAGCCAUGCCGCGUGAGUGAAGAAGGCCUUCGGGUUGUAAAGCUCUUUCGGCCGGGAAGAAAUCGUAUCAGCUAAUACCUGGUGCGGAUGACGGUACCGGCAUAAGAAGCACCGGCUAACUACGUGCCAGCAGCCGCCGUAAAAC
rnacentral:rRNA from 1 species